CACGCCUAACACAUGCAAGUCGAACGAAGUAGCAAUACUUAGUGGCAGACGGGUGAGUAACAUGUAGGUAUCUGCCCUUUGGCCUGGAAUAACACGAGGAAACUUGUGCUAAUACCGGAUAAGUCUUUACGGAGAAAGCUUUAUGCACCAUUGGAUGAGCCUGCACUUGAUUAGUUUGUUGGUGGGGUAAUAGCCUACCAAGACUGUGAUCAAUAGCUGAUUUGAGAGGAUGAUCAGCCACAUUGGGACUGAGACACGGCCCAAACUCCUACGGGAGGCAGCAGUGGGGAAUCUUGCACAAUGGAGGAAACUCUGAUGCAGCGAUGCCGCGUGAGUGAAGAAGGCCCUUGGGUUGUAAAGCUCUUUCGUCGGGGAAGAAAAUGACUGUACCCGAAUAAGAAGGUCCGGCUAACUUCGUGCCAGCAGCCGCGGUAAUACGAAGGGACCUAGCGUAGUUCGGAAUUACUGGGCUUAAAGAGUUCGUAGGUGGUUGAAAAAGUUGGUGGUGAAAUCCCAGAGCUUAACUCUGGAACUGCCAUCAAAACUUUUCAGCUAGAGUAUGAUAGAGGAAAGUAGAAUUUCUAGUGUAGAGGUGAAAUUCGUAGAUAUUAGAAAGAAUACCGAUUGCGAAGGCAGCUUUCUGGAUCAUUACUGACACUGAGGAACGAAAGCAUGGGUAGCGAAGAGGAUUAGAUACCCUCGUAGUCCAUGCCGUAAACGAUGUGUGUUAGACGUUGGAAAUUUAUUUUCAGUGUCGCAGCGAAAGCGAUAAACACACCGCCUGGGGAGUACGACC
rnacentral:rRNA from 1 species